rnacentral:rRNA from 1 species
CCUAUAUGACUGAGUGGCGGACGGGUGAGUAACGCGUGGGGAACCUGCCCUAUACAGGGGGAUAACAGCUGGAAACGGCUGCUAAUACCGCAUAAGCGCACAGAAUCGCAUGAUUCAGUGUGAAAAGCCCUGGCAGUAUAGGAUGGUCCCGCGUCUGAUUAGCUGGUUGGUGAGGUAACGGCUCACCAAGGCGACGAUCAGUAGCCGGCUUGAGAGAGUGAACGGCCACAUUGGGACUGAGACACGGCCCAAACUCCUACGGGAGGCAGCAGUGGGGAAUAUUGCACAAUGGGGGAAACCCUGAUGCAGCGACGCCGCGUGAGUGAAGAAGUAUUUCGGUAUGUAAAGCUCUAUCAGCAGGGAAGAAAACAGACGGUACCUGACUAAGAAGCCCCGGCUAACUACGUGCCAGCAGCCGCGGUAAUACGUAGGGGGCAAGCGUUAUCCGGAAUUACUGGGUGUAAAGGGUGCGUAGGUGGCAUGGUAAGUCAGAAGUGAAAGCCCGGGGCUUAACCCCGGGACUGCUUUUGAAACUGUCAUGCUGGAGUGCAGGAGAGGUAAGCGGAAUUCCUAGUGUAGCGGUGAAUGCGUAGAUAUUAGGAGGACACCAGUGGCGAAGGCGGCUUACUGGACUGUCACUGACACUGAUGC